rnacentral:rRNA from 1 species
GACGAACGCUGGCGGCGUGCUUAACACAUGCAAGUCGAACGGAAAGGCCCUGCUUUUGUGGGGUGCUCGAGUGGCGAACGGGUGAGUAACACGUGAGUAACCUGCCCUUGACUUUGGGAUAACUUCAGGAAACUGGGGCUAAUACCGGAUAGGAGCUCCUGCGGCAAGGUGGGGGUGGGAAAGUUUCGGCGGUUGGGGAUGGACUCGCGGCUUAUCAGCUUGUUGGUGGGGUAGUGGCUUACCAAGGCUUUGACGGGUAGCCGGCCUGAGAGGGUGACCGGCCACAUUGGGACUGGGAUACGGCCCAGACUCCUACGGGAGGCAGCAGUGGGGAAUAUUGCACAAUGGGCGGAAGCCUGAUGCAGCAACGCCGCGUGCGGGAUGACGGCCUUCGGGUUGUAAACCGCUUUCGCCUGUGACGAAGCGUGAGUGACGGUAAUGGGUAAAGAAGCACCGGCUAACUACGUG